rnacentral:rRNA from 1 species
CGAGCGAACAGAUAAGGAGCUUGCUCCUUUGACGUUAGCGGCGGACGGGUGAGUAACACGUGGGUAACCUACCUAUAAGACUGGGAUAACUUCGGGAAACCGGAGCUAAUACCGGAUAAUACAUGAAACCGCAUGGUUUCAUGAUGAAAGACGGUUUUGCUGUCACUUAUAGAUGGACCCGCGGCGUAUUAGCUAGUUGGUAAGGUAACGGCUUACCAAGGCAACGAUACGUAGCCGACCUGAGAGGGUGAUCGGCCACACUGGAACUGAGACACGGUCCAGACUCCUACGGGAGGCAGCAGUAGGGAAACUUCCGCAAUGGGCGAAAGCCUGACGGAGCAACGCCGCGUGAGUGAUGAAGGUCUUCGGAUCGUAAAACUCUGUUAUUAGGGAAGAACAAGGAUGUAAGUAACUGUGCAUCCCUUGACGGUACCUAAUCAGAAAGCCACGGCUAACUACGUGCCAGCAGCCGCGGUAAUACGUAGGUGGCAAGCGUUAUCCGGAAUUAUUGGGCGUAAAGCGCGCGUAGGCGGUUUUUUAAGUCUGAUGUGAAAGCCCACGGCUCAACCGUGGAGGGUCAUUGGAAACUGGAAAACUUGAGUGCAGAAGAGGAAAGUGGAAUUCCAUGUGUAGCGGUGAAAUGCGCAGAGAUAUGGAGGAACACCAGUGGCGAAGGCGACUUUCUGGUCUGCAACUGACGCUGAUGUGCGAA